ACUGGAGGAUCAAGAAGGCUGAGUCUGAUGAAGCAAGACUUUGAUGAUACGCUCCUCCUAGACAAGGGGGUGGAGAGAGCAGCCUUUACUGGAGAAAGCCACAAGGCUCACUGUACUACCCAACAUUU
ensembl:scaRNA Gm22897 predicted gene, 22897